UACGGAGGGGGCAAGCGUUGUUCGGAGUUACUGGGCGUAAAGCGCGCGUAGGCGGUGCGGUAAGUCAGGGAUUAAAGGCUGCAGCUCAACUGCAGUAAGGCCUUUGAUACUAUCGUGCUAGAGUGCCGGAGAGGGUAGCGGAAUUCCCUGUGUAGCGGUGAAAUGCGUAGAUAUAGGGAGGAACACCGGUUGCGAAGGCGGCUACCUGGCCGGUAACUGACGCUGAGGUGCGAGAGCGUGGGGAGCAAACAGG
rnacentral:rRNA from 1 species